GACCCUGUCUUAAAAAAAUAAAAAAGAAUGGCAAUCAUAGCUAGCAUUUAUUGAGCACUUACUAUGAGCCAGGAACUAUGGUAUUAGAAUGUGCAUUAUUUAAUUGUUAAAAGAAGAACGUUAGGCAAAAUUAAAUUUAACAGAGUUGACUUGAGCAAAGAACGAUGCUCAAAUCAGGCAGCCCCUCAACCAGAAUAGGCUCAUCAAAACCACUCAGCAAUAAAAAGGAACUGAUACGUGCAAAAAACACAGGGAAGAAUUCCAGAAACAUUAAGCAAAAUAAGUCAGACACACAUACAAGAAAAUACAUACUGUAUGAUCCCAUUUAUACGAAUUCUAUGAACAGACAAAACCAGUUGAUAGAGAUAGCAUUCAGAAAAUGACAGUGGGAGAGGAAGAGGAAUUGAUGGAAAGGGGGCACCGGGUAAUGGGAGUGUUCAACAUCUCGACUGUCAAACCUGAGUGGGCACUCAAGAUUUGUUCAUUUUAUUGUACAUCAAUUAUGCCUCACUUAAAGAAAAAAAUACCAGUGCAGGGUCUUACUUGCCAGAUUCAGAUUUAAUGGGUCUGGGCUGGAGCCAGAACAAGGUUGUUUGAAAGAGCCCCCACGUGGUCCUAACGUGCAGCUACAUUAACCACCGUCUAGUCCAGAUCUUCACUUCCUCUUCCAUUCAGCUCUAUUUCCAUCUCUACCAGAAAAGUCUAGCUGGCUGGGCCUUAGGCAUCAGCUCUGGCAGCCCCUGAACUUCUCACAGGAGAAAAUGUAGCUCUGGUUGAAGGUGUGUUUGGCAUUCUAAGAGACUUGCUCGUUAUUUAUAAUUAAAAGAAUGGCAAGCAUAGCUAGCGUUUAUCGAGCACUUAUUAUGAGCCAGGCACUGUGGUAUUAGAAUGUACAUUAUUUAAUUGUUAAAAGAAAAACUUUAAACAAAUUAAAUUUAACUUGAGUUUCACUGAGCAAACAAUGAACCUCGAAUCGAGUGCCCCCCGCCCCCAACCAGAAUAGAUUCACAGUGACUCUGGGGGCUGCUGCAUGAUUCGAUAAUAUUCGUGGACAGGAAAAGGAAAGUGACCCACAGAAAACGGAAGUAAGGUACAGAAACACCCGGAUUGGUUACACCCCCGGCGUUUGCCUUAUUUGGACAAGGUUUGACAAGUGGGCUGCCUUUCAUUGGCCAAAACUCUGUGAUUGCUAUAAAGGUAGGUUAUAGUGUGUUUACAUAUCUAGUUAGGUGGCAGUUCACUAUGCAUGAAGAAACCUUUAGGACAAACUUUAAAAAUGUAAAGAGGCAACUUUAGGCUAAAACUUAUUUAACAUGAUUUAAUCUUCAGUGUAACACAGUAUACCGUUAGCCACUGUUAGCUAACACAAUUGUCAUUCCCUUUUCCAGGUGAAAAACCUGAGGCAUGAUGACUUAUUCCAGUUGGCACAGCUAGCAAAUGGGUCAGACAGCACUCCAACCACCACACUGCCCUCUGGUCCGUCCCUGCUACCUCUGGCUAUUUUAGGAGGGCCACAUGGUGCCCCAGAAAGAGCACCCAAGCCAGAACCUCUCUGAGAUGUAGGGCCUGGUGUUCCAGCCACACACUUUCUGUCUGUGUAACUCGGGGACAGGACGUCCCACCCUUUCUUAGUCCGUAACGCACCUUUGGACAUGAUGGAAUAUACGAAGGGGCCUCCACCCACAGCAUGACCAAUCCCCAGCAUCCAAAAUCGCACACAUACCAAUAUGUGCACACACACACUCACACCCACACCCAUAAAGAUUUUGCACUCCUUGAAGGUACACUAACUCACCAUUUUUAUCAUACUUAUCCCAGUGUGCCACAGUUACUGGCUUAUAUGCCUGUCUCUGCUAUCUUAUUUUAUCUGUCUCCACAACACAGCAAACUACCUGGCCUUCAAUAAAGGGCUUAUGAAUUAUUCAUGAAUCCAUUUUGCCAGGUGCCUAGCCCUGUGUCUGGCUUGAAGCAGGUGUUCCCAAGGUGUGGCAUGGCUGAGUGAAUACAAAUAAAAGGUAUACAAAAGCA
rnacentral:lncRNA from 1 species